UUCUGUGUGAAAGGGUGUAUGUUCUUUUUAUUUUUGUUGUUUGUCAAUAUGCUUUGGUGGCUUUGUUUGUUUUCGUUCUGUGGGAAUUUCCAUGCUUUAAUUUGUAGUGUCUUUUCUUCAUGUUUGGAUUCUCUGGGGUUUAACCCCUUUUUUUGGGGUGAAGUUCCGAGUUCUUCAAGUAGGUCAAGUCCAAGAAUUUUCACAUAUUCACCUGUUAUAUAAGAUUCGGUCUUGUGUUAAUAUUUGGAUUCUGAUCGUUGUCCCAAAGUCGAAUAUACAGAACUUUGACUUGUUUGCUGAAUAUGAAAUAAUGAUGCAUUGCUGCAGUUUUUCCUUUGUUUUGUUUUAAUUCGUGUUUUUAUGUUGGUAUCAUAGGUCUUCCAGACACACAGGUGGUUGCCCUUUACUGGCUCCUUGUUGGUUUCUUGAUGAAAUGGAAAGUUGAGCAGGAGACUUAUUUUGAACCCUAGGUUGCUCUCACGUUCUGUUCAUAGUAGUUUGACCAUUGGCUGUUUCAUGUGCUGUAUCGUUCAUGAAUUCUGACACUCGUCGCUUUUUUAGCACUAUCCUUUAUCUCUUCCCCGUUUUAUGCAAUCUUGAUCUCUUCCCCGUUUUAUGCAAUCUUGGCUGUUUUUGUGAUCCUUGUCUGUGUUGAGGUGUCAUUUACUUUUCUGCUAUCCUGUUUAUGGUUGAAUGAUAAGAUACUUCAGUCACCACUACAGUAAAUUAACUGAAAUCUCAUGUGUUACUGCAGUGGUAGUUCAAAUUGUAGCAAAGGGAUAGUGGUAGCAAUUAGGGGGAAAAAACUAGAAUCUUUAGUGUGGUAAAUAUGGCAACUGAGAGCCCUGUGAGAAUGGUGGAAGGUAGAAAAUGGUCAUCAACCAAGGAUGCUGCUAGUUAUGGAUCACCCUUAAAGUCGUCUAUUGCUGCUGAAGAAUUGGGGUUGCUUCUUAAAGGGCAUAGGAUGCACACAGAUCAAUCAGAAAGUGUUCCGAAUCGAAGUG
rnacentral:lncRNA from 1 species